ACAUUGUACAAGUUGACCGAAACGACAUCACCGGAAGUUACAACUUUCAAAGAAGUCAUUUAUGAUUUAAAGAUUUGUGAAUGGAAAUCAAUAACAUCGGAAUGAAAAAGGACUACGGGGUAACGGAUGACACUCUGAGAUUGAGAACCCAAAAGGUAAAUGCUGUGCAAGAAAGAUGUAAACAUGCGAAUUCCUAAAUGUACAGUAACUAAAUAUUAAAACAUCAACUGCAAUCUUCAGUGGUGACAUCCAAAAGUUGAUAUGCCAUUGGUACUUCAAGUGAUACGACCGUGACAUUGGAAAAUCCUUCUAACUUAUCAUCACUUGAACCUGAAUUGCAAUCCUUUUGAUACAGACAUUUUUUAAAGUUCAGUUUCGAACAUUAAUGCCGCUGUGUCAUCUCUGGAAAUGGAAAAGCCUACCACAGAAUCUGAUGAAUUUUUGAACAUUCUUUCACAAAAAGGGAUCUUCUUUAUUUUGAAGAAGGUAGCCCAGGAACUGGAAAUCUGUUAUCAAAAUGAUCUUAAUAAUACACUGGACAAUAUUCUAACCUAAAAAAAAAAAACAUGACAAACCCGAUUGAACUCCUGUGAUGAAGCAUCUCAAAACUCAAAUUAUGGUAGUCAUUCAAGUGACAUUGAGGAUUUCAAUAGCGCAUUUGACAGUAAAGUGAUUUUUAUUCAAGUUCAGAUUGUUGUUAUUAUAACAUGAUUGUUGUUGUAUACAUAAAUGUUCGUAUCCACGAAUCAUUCACUGUUCUUAUAGGUUUUUUUUUAGCCUGAACUAUGUAGCAAUGACAUGUCAAGGUAAUCCAGAAAUGUAAAAUCUUUUCUUUGAUAUGACAAGGAUUUAAUUUUGUAACAAUUAAUAUCUAAAAGUCCUGUAACCCUCAUUAAAGUCCUUUAUAAUCUGAC